AACUGUUCGCUAAUCUAUUACCCAUCUCCUCUCGCGUGAGGAAUCGCAGGAGUGGGGUGGAGCGCAGCGCGGGGGCCGAAGGGAUGCUCGAUCUAGGGUUUCGCCGCCAGCUCCCCCGGCCGACCGCCGCCCGUCUGGCCCCGCUUGCCGCCGCCUGCUGGUCCCCGCUCGACACCGCCCCACCCGAUGGCGCUGCCGCUCGUCCCCGCCCAGCACCGCCCCACUCGACGCCACCACCGCCCGACGCCGACCCCUGCUCGGCCCCAGCCAACGCCGCCGCCGCCCGACGCCGACCCCUGCUCGUCCCGGCCAACGACGAUCCCUGCUCGUCCCCAGCCGACAUGCCCGACACCGACCCUGCCCGUCCCCGCCCGACGCCAGCAGAGAAACGGUAGUAGAGCAUGUGAGGCUUCUAUAAGCAGACAACUCCAAUGAUAUUUCCAAUUGAAUGUUCAGCAAUAUAUCGAGAUGACAGUCCAUAGAAGUAAUAAUCCAUUGUGUUGAUUCUAUGUGAAAAUAUAAAUAAUACCAUCUUGAUUCAUGUGCUGUGAGUAGAAUGUUAUAGCAAAUUCAUUUUUGGCCUAUAAAUUAUUGAUUGAACAAAAAAUUAUUCGGUUCAAGAAUGGGUGACAAGGCAGAAUGGGGUGAUGGUUUUGUAAGGCAUUGUUUGAUGUCUGCAAAUAAGAGAUAGAAGCUGGGAAUAGACCCAUGGGAAUUUUCACCACUACAGGUUGGAAAAAUAUUGUUUCCAAGUUUGCAAAAAAAAUCGGGUGACAAGCGAACUAAAAAGCAAUUGAAGAACAAAUUAGAUGUGCUGAAAAAGGAAUAUUCAAUGUUUAUGGAGUUCAAGAAUUGUGCCACUAGUCUUGGAUGGGAUGAGGCGAAACAAACUAUUGUCUGUUCGGCGGAAUGGUGGGACGAACACCUUGCUAGAUGCAACAAUCGUGAGAAAGGAAUCAAAUGCAAUCAUGUGAAGUUUCGAAAACAAGGACCAAAAUUCCUAGAUGAUCUGCGUAUCAUUUUUGGCAAGUCACAUGUUAAUGGGGCUUCAGCAUCAUGUCCUAGAGAUGUAUCCUCCGAUGAGGCAAGUGAUGAGGAUAUGGCUGAGGUACCCAAACCUGCAGAGAAGGCUGAGAAGACAGUGAACCCGGGAAAAAUAAACGCAAGGGGUCAUCCACUGUUGUUAGAGACAAGGAUGAGAAGAUCCCAUUUGCUCGUAUGUACAAGAACACUUGUUUGAAGAUAGAAACGGCAACAGAGAAGAUCUCUACAAGUAUUGAAGCAUCAUUAGCUUCUCCAUGCAAUGUAGUCCCUAUCAUUAAAGAGGCUAUGAAUAUGGUGAAAGAUUGUGGGGUAGAAGAAAAAACUGCUCUAAUGCACACAUCCACAACUUUGAUUAUGAAGCCUGAAUUUAGAGAGGUCUUUAGCUAUCUAGAAACAAAUAAAGGAAGACUCGAUUUGAUCGAGAGGGAGCAUGAAAAGGAGAUGACGAAGCAUUAGUGAUUCCUUUGCGUUGAAAUUUUAUUUCUAUCGAUUGUUGCCUUGUUUAUGUCCUAUGUGAGAACCAUUUGCUUCCCUAUGUGAUGUUAUUUAUUUC